GACGAACGCUGGCGGCGUGCCUAAUACAUGCAAGUCGAACGCAGUGGGGACGGGUGAGUAACACGUGGGUAACCUCCCAUCAGAGGGGAUAACACUUGGCAACAGGUGCUAAACCGAUAUCGGUGGAUGGACCCGCGGUGGAUUAGCUAGUUGGUGGGGUAACGGCUAACCAAGGCGACGAUGCAUAGCCGGCCUGAGAGGGUGAUCGGCCACACUGGGACUGAGACACGGCCCAGACUCCUACGGGAGGCAGCAGUGGGGAAUCUUCGGCAAUGGGCGAAAGUCUGACCCAGCAACGCCGCGUGAGUGAAGAAGGUUUUCGGAUCGUAAAGCUCUGUUGUUGGAGAAGCGGUACCUAACCAAAAAGCCACGGCUAACUACGUGCCAGCCGCCGCGGUAAUAC
rnacentral:rRNA from 1 species